UACGUAGGGUGCAAGCGUUUGUCCGGAAUUAUUGGGCGUAAAGAGCUCGUAGGCGGUCUGUCGCGUCGGAUGUGAAAACCCAGGGCUCAACCCUGGGCCUGCAUUCGAUACGGGCAGACUAGAGUUCGGUAGGGGAGACUGGAAUUCCUGGUGUAGCGGUGAAAUGCGCAGAUAUCAGGAGGAACACCGGUGGCGAAGGCGGGUCUCUGGGCCGAUAUUGACGCUGAGACGCGAAAAGCGUGGGGGAGCGAACAGG
rnacentral:rRNA from 1 species